rnacentral:snoRNA from 1 species
UAAAAAGAUUUUAUUUUUAUCAGUUUGAGCUUGCUAUAGCAAGAAAGUCUAACCUAUUCCAGUGUUCUUUUUCCCAUGGGACAACCUGUUAAAAAGGCUCAAGCAAU